rnacentral:rRNA from 1 species
UACGGGGGGAGCAAGCGUUGUUCGGAUUUACUGGGCGUAAAGGGCGCGUAGGCGGCGUGGUAAGUCACUUGUGAAAUCUCCGGGCUUAACUCGGAAAGGUCAACUGAUACUGUGCGACUAGAGUGCGGAAGGGGCAACUGGAAUUCUCGGUGUAGCGGUGAAAUGCGUAGAUAUCGAGAGGAACACCUGCGGCGAAGGCGGGUUGCUGGGCCGACGCUGACGCUGAUGCGCGAAAGCCAGGGGAGCGAACGGG